GAGGCGAACCGGGGGAACUGAAACAUCUAAGUACCCCGAGGAAAAGAAAUCAACCGAGAUUCCGAAAGUAGCGGCGAGCGAAAUUGGACUAGCCCUUAAGCUUUACACGCGUUAGACGAACGGUCUGGAAAGUCCGACGAUACAGGGUGAUAGUCCCGUAGUUGACGACGUGUGUUCAGUGAAAUCGAGUAGGGCGGGACACGUGAUA
rnacentral:rRNA from 1 species